GACAGAGGUGCCGAGCGUUAGGCGGGAUCACUGGGCUUAAAGCGUGUGUAGGCGGGCGGGCAAGUACCUUGUGAAAUCCCACGGCUUACCCGUGGAACGGCUGGGUAUACUGGUUGUCUUGAGCCACUUAGGGGCUACCGGAACAAAUGGUGGAGCGGUGAAAUGCGUAGAUAUCAUUUGGAACGCCAAUGGUGAAAACAGGUAGCUGGGAGUGUGCUGACGCUGAGACACGAAAGCCAGGGGAGCGAACGGG
rnacentral:rRNA from 1 species